GACGUAGGGGGCCAGCGUUGUUCGGAAUUACUGGGUGUAAAGGGUUCGUAGGCGGUGUGGCAAGUUGGGAGUGAAAUCUCUGGGCUUAACCCAGAGGCUGCUUCCAAAACUGCUGUGCUUGAGUGUGGGAGAGGCGCGUGGAAUUGCAGGUGUAGCGGUGAAAUGCGUAGAUAUCUGCAGGAACACCCGUGGCGAAAGCGGCGCGCUGGACCACUACUGACGCUGAGGCGCGAAGGCCAGGGGAGCAAACGGG
rnacentral:rRNA from 1 species